UUAGACCUUUAAUUGAGUCUUAAUUCCGUUCAGAGGCUAAAAAUACAGAAAAUACACGCCUCUCUUUUCGGUGCUCCUUUUCUGUCUCUUGAAAUCAGACUAUUUCUUCUAAAUCCAAAACAACUUUCAUCCUUCAUGCGUCUCUCUCUUCAACGAUCAAGCAGCCACCGAAUCUUUUUCUUGAAAAUGGUUUGACGUGUAUAUUAGAAGUAUGAUCUUAUAUAUUUGGAUAUAAGCGCAUCCAAAAGCCAAGACAUUGAUGAGUUCACCUCUACCCUUCCCGAAUCUUUGUACUGCACUUUUCGAGGGUUCUACUGCAACCGGCAUUCAUGGUUGGAGUCCAAGUUGUUCAACUCCCCGACCUGGUGUCUCAUCUUUAUCUACUAAUGUAGAUAUAGAUACCCUUGAUUAUGUUGAAGAUCUACAUGGUGACAAAAAUGAUGGAACUUCUAUUAAUUCUCUAGUUUCAACAGAAAGGAAAAAUACGGGAAAGAAAAGAAAAACCACACUGUCUCGAGUAGAAAUUGAUGAUAAGAUGAGUACUGCUUUGGAGCUAUUGAUUAAAAAAAAUAGUGCGCCUAAUGUUGAGGAAUGUAUGAUAAAAUUAGAGGGACUUGGAUGGGAAGAACCGUUAUACAGUGCAACUGUUAGUAUACUUUGCGAAGGUGAUAGCUAUAGACACGCAUGGAUGCAAAUGACAGAGGUCGACAAAUUGGAGAGUUGGGUCAAAGCUAUGGGGGAAAAAUAGGAAUGCUUUAAUUUUGCUAAUUAAUUAGCUGGAAUAUGUUUUAGAUGUUGAUUUUAUGCAAUAUUUUCUUUAUUAUUUUUCAAUUGGUAUCUAUUAUGAAACUUUGUGAUACUAUAUUAUGCUUUGAAUAAAUUUAUUCGUGAAAUACACUUUUUCAGUA